CUACGGGCCGCAGCAGUGAGGAAUAUUGGUCAAUGGGCGUAGGCCUGAACCAGCCAAGUAGCGUGAAGGAUGACUGCCCUAUGGGUUGUAAACUUCUUUUAUAUGGGAAUAAAGUGAUCCACGUGUGGAUUUUUGUAUGUACCAUAUGAAUAAGGAUCGGCUAACUCCGUGCCAGCAGCCGCGGUAAUACGGAGGAUCCAAGCGUUAUCCGGAUUUAUUGGGUUUAAAGGGAGCGUAGGUGGAAGCCUAAGUCAGUUGUGAAAGUUUGCGGCUCAACCGUAAAAUUGCAGUUGAUACUGGGUUUCUUGAGUACAGUAGAGGUGGGCGGAAUUCGUGGUGUAGCGGUGAAAUGCUUAGAUAUCACGAAGAACUCCAAUUGCGAAGGCAGCUCACUAGACUGCAACUGACACUGAUGCUCGAAAGUGUGGGUAUCAAACAGGAUUAGAUACCCCCGUAGUC
rnacentral:rRNA from 1 species